rnacentral:tRNA from 2 species
CAAAGAGUAGUUUAACUAAGAAUACUAGCUUUGGGAGUUAGUGGUAGGGGUUAAAAUCCCUUCUCUUUGA